CAGAUCUCACAUGUCUUAAAGGGUAAAAUGUACGGUUAUUUUUCAUUCGUUUUGGGGGGCGGGGUUGCUCACCCCUCCCCGGUUAACUGCUAGCGACUGACAGGCGGGGGACGGCCGAGACAGACAAAGAGAAGCCGAAGACUCUGGGGUCUUCAGGAGAGGGUCGCACGAGCUGAGUCGGGGACAGACAGGUGGAGUUUCCAGAGCCUGCACCACCCGGGACACUGCUGGCAGCUCUCUAGGCCCUAGAGUCUGAGCUGACUCCGACUUUGGCUCACCGCUCUGCGGCCGGACGAUUGUAUGCCAUUCAAAAAGUCGGGAGUUGAAAGACAGCACGCAGCACCUUUGUCCCCCUCCCCGUUUUCCCGGCGCGCUGAAAAGAAAUGGGGCUGGGACUUAGGGGCGGGGGAGGGCUUCCAACUCGGUUUCUCUAUAUCCUCCACCACCUUAGAGCCCACCCUCCCCAAUGAGCGUUUUGUUCUACCCAGCCACGUGUUUGUCGGAUUUUUGUUUUUGUGAUUUUUUUUUCCCAUGGAACAACAAGAAUUAAAGUACUAGGAGCUAUUUGUUGUUGAGUAGAAAGAGAAUAUUUUCUGUCCAAGAAGGUGGGAGACAUCUGUGUCUCACCCCCACACACACACCUCCGACCCUCCCCCCUUAUCUGACUCUUAAUACUUAGCUGUUGGUCACAAGCAUUAUUUUUAAACAAACCAAUGAGUAGGAAACAGGCAUGCCACAUAGUAGGCACUCAAUAAACAUUUUUUUAAAUGAAAAACAAGCUAAUACAAACA
rnacentral:lncRNA from 1 species